rnacentral:rRNA from 1 species
AUUGAACGCUGGCGGCAUGCCUUACACAUGCAAGUCGAACGGUAACGGGCCUUCGGGUGCCGACGAGUGGCGAACGGGUGAGUAAUACAUCGGAACGUGCCCGAUCGUGGGGGAUAACGAGGCGAAAGCUUUGCUAAUACCUCAUACGAUCUACGGAUGAAAGCAGGGGACCGCAAGGCCUUGCGCGGACGGAGCGGCCGAUGGCAGAUUAGGUAGUUGGUGGGAUAAAAGCUUACCAAGCCGACGAUCUGUAGCUGGUCUGAGAGGAUGAUCAGCCACACUGGGACUGAGACACGGUCCAGACUCCUACGGGAGGCAGCAGUGGGGAAUUUUGGACAAUGGGCGCAAGCCUGAUCCAGCCAUGCCGCGUGCAGGAUGAAGGCCUUCGGGUUGUAAACUGCUUUUGUACGGAACGAAAAGCCUUCUUUUAAUACAGGAGGGUCAUGACGGUACCGUAAGAAUAAGCACCGGCUAACUACGUG